rnacentral:rRNA from 1 species
CCUACGGGAGGCAGCAGUGAGGAAUAUUGGUCAAUGGACGAGAGUCUGAACCAGCCAAGUAGCGUGAAGGAUGACUGCCCUAUGGGUUGUAAACUUCUUUUAUAUGGGAAUAAAAUGUUCCACGUGUGGGAUUUUGUAUGUACCAUAUGAAUAAGGAUCGGCUAACUCCGUGCCAGCAGCCGCGGUAAUACGGAGGUUCCGAGCGUUAUCCGGAUUUAUUGGGUUUAAAGGGAGCGUAGGUGGAUUGUUAAGUCAGUUGUGAAAGUUUGCGGCGCAACCGUAAAAUUGCAGUUGAAACUGGCAGUCUUGAGUACAGUAGAGGUGGGCGGAAUUCGUGGUGUAGCGGUGAAAUGCUUAGAUAGCACGAAGAACUCCGAUUGCGAAGGCAGUUCACUGGACUGCAACUGACACUGAGGCUCGAAAGUGUGGGUAUCAAACAGGAUUAGAUACCCUGGUAGUC